AAGCCAUUGCACCUCUGCUCAGGGCUUCACGUACAGGAGGGAUGGGGCGAGCUGGCCCAGAGCAUGGCAAAGACGUUCUGACCAUUCUCCACUGCUCAUUACAUUGGAUUCUAGAAAACGGAAGUAUGGGGGUACUUAGCAGGGGGAGAGUUGUCUUUGUGGGCUCUGUGAAUUCUCUCUGAAGUUCAGUCCUUAAUGUGCAGUUUGAGGGAUCCAGGUGUGCUUACGUUACAGUUGUCACCAGCUGGGAUUUUAUCGCCAAGAGAUGUUUCUUCAUGAAUUGAGGCAUGAUGGCAAAUGAAGUUUUAGAAAUAUUACCCGGAAGUUCCAGGCGGUGGUGGGGCAUGCCUUUAAGCCUAGCACUCCAAUUCUUCAUGAAAUGUUAAAUGUAUUUUUUUUUUAAGUACUGAAGAAAGGAGAUGUCUAAGAUCCAGAGGAGUUGCGCGUCUCACAGGAGGCUGACAAGGGAGUUUACCCGCGGUGGGUCACACUUGGUGCAGAGUCAGGAAGAGCAUUACACCAACUAAGCUGACUGUUCUCUUCCCGCCACUGAAAUGCCCCGCUUGAGUCCCCCUCCCCCAAGCUGCUCCCGCUCUCUUCCUCUUUCUCUCGGAGGAAACAGCCAUCAGGCAACAUGGGUUCCGGCACAAUGACUGAUGUCCACGGCCGGUUUCGCUGGACUUCUAGGGGGCUUGGGACUUACUUCCUCUCCAGGUUUUCAUCGCCUCGCCGCUCGGCCACUCUCCCUUAACCCUGACAGCCUGGGUUUAAUGUCUUACUCUUUGUCACUGUGAUGGGGCAUUGGGUGUCCACUUAAUGGGCUCUGGAGUCACUUGCUGUGAAGAGCUGCUGAACGUGCCUGUGGGGGUGUCUUCAUCUCAUUAACUGAUGUGCCAAGACUCAUCUUAGUUGGGCACAGGACCAUUCCCUGGGCAGGGGAUCCUGGACUACGUGAACUGAGAAAGCAAGCCAAGCUCCAGUGGAUUCUUUCACCUUUGUUUGUUGUGGAAGUGAUGCAGCCAGCUUCUCCCCUGCCCGGCCACACCUUCCCCCAGGAUGGACUCCAUCCCUCUGGAACUGCAAACCAACACCAACCCUUCCUCCUUGAAGCUGCUUUUAUCCUGGUGUUUUAUCACAGGAGGGAGAAAAUGACUAAGACAUUAUCAAACUUUC